rnacentral:lncRNA from 1 species
CUAGACAUGGAGUGUGAGAGGUAUGAAUUUUCAGCUUGUUAAUCACGAUCAAGUGGAAUACAACAUAAAUAUUCUUUGCAUGACGAGUCAGAACUGAUCGCCACGUCCACUUAAUACAUUUUAUCCAUGUUCAGUUCCUUAGAUUGCUUAUCCUGUAUUAUUCGACUGGUAAAAUUGCAUUGCUAAUCGCUUCAAAGGACAAGUGAAUAUGUAGGUUGUAUCCCUCUUAGUUUGUAAACAAUCCGUUCACCGACUCGCUACUCCAUCUAAUAAGACACAUAGAUAAAGGUCAAGAAUUUGUCAUCUGUAGUUAUCCCUUCUUAAUUAUGAUAAACUUGCUUUCUUCUCUCAGCAUUUUAGAAAUAUCAUUUUAUUCAGUUGAUUUCUCAUCCUGUUACCCCAUGUACGUAUAGGUUCUGAAAGAUCGUUCACUGUCCCAUGUCUUCCGCCCGUCGAGAAAGAGGGAGAGCUAGGAGAGAGGGAGGAGCGCAACGGCGCUGCUGGAACUAAUCGCCCACAGAGAAAGAUGUGGCGGCGAGGCAGUCGCUGGCGGCGGUGCCUCCGGUGACCAGUGAGCGGGCAAGGCGGCGAGCUCCUGUUGAGGCGGCGGGGCUUGGUGCGUGCUGGUUCCUCGGGAUCGAG